CUGGCUUCUCCGGGGAGAUGUUGGCUUUUUCUUCAGAUAACAACUGUUCUGCAGGGAAGCAGGUAUGUGAUUUCUCUGCAGAACGUCUGAAUGUGGUUCCUGUGAUGUUUCUACGUGUGUACAUUCAUUCAUAUACUUGUGGCUUUUAAGAGUCUUAUUUCGUAAUUAUUAGUGCUUCAAACAUGAUUCAGGAUUUGUGGUAUGUAAACCUCAAGGAAUGAGUAAUAAUGCCAAAUAGUGACAAAGCAUGACCGACUGUCUUAGUCUGAUAUUUCCAACAACCGUGUCAUAUCUGAAUCUGGUUCUGAUGCUUGCUUUGUCUCUUCAGACUGCAUUUUUUUCUUGGUUUUCCCAGGCCUUGUAGUGUUUUGUUGUAAGCUGGAAAUAAUGUCGGAGAUAAUAGGCACUGAGAGAAAUAGGCCUUCAGUGUGAGAUAGUCUAUUAAUCAAUUUAGAAGUUGGGCUCUAUUUAACUCUUGCUAUUACUGUAGGUACCAGAGGCUUCCAACUCCUCCAGCAUCCUUGAUUUUUGUAUCCUCUACUGACGUGGGCUUCCCUAAGUAUUCUUCCUGAAAGGGAGUCUGACUCUUGCAGCUCUCAGUUAUAAUUCACUGUUGUUAUGAGGACCCAGUUUAUGUGACUCCUGUUCUCGGAAAGCAGAUAUUGGCUAUGUCUCUAGGAAAGCAGAUUUGCCUACCUCUCCACAUUUUGGUGUGUUUGUCCUGUGAUUUUAGUUCUCUGAUGGGUUCUGUUGAAUUGCAAUGUUUGGGGCCUUUUUUUUUUUUUUCCUCUCUAAGGAUGGGAGUGAUGACUUCCAAACUCUUUUCAAAAUAUUGGAGCUGAAACAAUAAGUGCAUGGUCUAGUCUUAGAAAUCCACAAACAGGUCCAUUUGUUUGUUUAAUGUGAAAGACCCAAGUGAUCGUCCCAAGAUCUUCCUAGAGUUUUUUGUCUUCUUUUUUUUUUUUUUUUUUGCUUUUAGCCUUAGCGAGAAGGAGUUAUAUGUUUUCAAAGCUAAAACUGAAAAUUAGCUAUAUAAAAUCAUACGUACAACCAAGUCAAUAAAUCCAUAAGUGCCUGAGAGCAAAGGUAUCAAGACAGGACAACGGCACUACCACAGCCCCUGGUUGUAAUUCAACACCCUUCUAAGAUAAAGAGCAUCCAGUUCACGGUAACCCCAAAGUAUACACUCAGUCACGCCACAGCUGUAUCCUUUCUAAGAUCUCACACUUGGAAAUUUCCCGAUCGAAACACAGAACCCUUAGCCCGCCAACACUUCCACCUCUGUACCUGAGGCAGCUAUAGCAAAAGUAUUUUAUUACUGGCUUCUUAAAUCGACUCCAUGGCCUACUAGUUAGGCCAAAUUCAUUCUAGAUACCUAGUUUCAGUGGAUGACUGGCUAUUCGCUAAAAUAUGCCUUCGAACUUCUAUUCAUGCAGCCUCUGCUGCCUGGAAAUCUCUUCCACUCUGCCUUUUGAAAUUCGAUUCUGCCUUUUAAUUAAAACAACUUUAUGAAUCUACUCAAUUCAGUGACUUUGUCUUUAAGCUACAUAGCCCUUUAUUUACACCUCUAUCAUGCCCUUAACAUACUCUGCCUUUUAUUUAAAUUCAGGUCCACCAACUUCAUCUCCUCUAGAAAGUGAGUUCUAAUUUCUUCUUUUUUUUAAUAUUUUUUAAUGUUUAUUUCAUUUUUAAAAGAGAGAGACAGAGCAUGAGCAGAGGAGAGGCAGAGAGAGAGAGAGAGAGAGAGAGAGACAGAAUCCAAGGCAGGCUCCAGGCUCUGAGCUAUCAGCACAGAGCCCGACGUGGGGCUCAAACCCGUGAAAUGCGAGAUCAUGACCUGAGCUGAAGUUGGACACCUAACCAACUGAACCACCCAGACUCCCCCUAAUUUCUUCUAAGAAGUAGUUUAUACAUGGUGCCUUAUAGAUAGUAGGAAAAAAAUCAUCAGUCUAAUGCAUAAAGGAAAGAUAUCAUGUUUGUGCUGGGAACAGUGAGUUACUAAGGCUCAUUGAGUUAUAUCAUUUCAAAGUUAGGAAUUCCAACAUGUCAAAAGCAACGUGUUAGAUGAAUACAGACAAGGAAUGGAUUCUACUGAUAAUCAGGUCUCUAUUGUAGAUGGGUUCAACAUCCAGAGCCAAGAAUUCUCUAACAUUCUUUGAGUGAUAUUACUCUUGGAGUUAUUAUUACUCACGCUGAGGCUCAUUGCUGUCUUUCUAUUCAGUCACAUAACCCGGUAAAUCUUCUCAAAGUUUACUCUCAUAAGAUUGGCCUUUCAACAUCCAAAGAUCAGGGAAUUUGAAAUAUUAGAGAUUUCACUUUGUAGUCUGUUUAAUUAAUGAUUAGUAAAUAAGACUGGUUGCUCCAUGAGCACUGUUUAGAUUCUGUUAAGUGGUCGUGCAGCCUGAGAUUGACCAUCUCCAGUGAGUAUCAGGAUUUCAUUUUCUCAGGUUUUCUGAAAUUUCCCGUGUCUCCACCAAAUUUGUUUCAAUGUGAAAGAGAAGAAUUACAUUACAGAAAUUUAGCAGAGUGUGGUAACUGUCUUUUUAGAAACUUUCUAGAAAAAAAUGGAAGGAAUAUUUCUAGAAGUUUUCUAGAAAAAAACCUAUUUGCUUAUUCAAAAACAAAAACAUAUUGUAUCACAACCCAGAAUAUUGGAUAUAUUUCUGAUGGCUGGGGUCAACAAACAAACAAAUAAUGAAGCUGGAAAAUUCCAUGGAAGAAAAGAUAAGAUAAUGAAGGGGAAAUUGAGGCUUCUGUGAGGAAAGGCCAAAAAUAAUUAGAUAUCAUAAAUCCGGAAUGAUAAAGUCUGAGAAGAGGAUGAGAGGAUGAGAUAAAAAUGCUUAAGACCACUAAGUUAUUAAAUAGAGCAAACAUGGCUGAGUGACUAAAUUUUAGAACAGUAAAACUAAGAAAUAUCUUUUGAAGUUUCACUGAAAUCAAAAGCAGUACUAUUUGGGAAACAUUUAAACUGGCAAAAAUUACCUCAGUAAACUCACAUGAAAAAUUAAUUAGGCUAAGCAAGAGUUUCAGUAAAGCAAUAGAUGAGUUCCAAGGAUUAUAAAGAAAUGAAAUCAUGAGUGUGUAAGAAGUCUCCAUUAUGGAGAUUACUCCAAACAGAUUUCUUUAAUGCCAUGGAUUUUAACAACAUUCAAGGCCCUACAUAGACAUUUAAUAUGAUGAGAGAUGGAUAAUCUAAUAGGUUCAAGUCUGACUGUAUACUAGAGAUAAUUUAGGUAAAUCACUGUUCUCAAUUACUGUAUCCACAAGGCAAAAUAUUGUUGUACAGGACAGAGUGUUAUACAUUUUCAGGCAAGUUAAAUCAAAGAAUAGCUUUUGUAAGAGAAGGAGUGUUUAAAUAGAAUGUAAUAACUACAAUAUGUAGCAGUUGCUUAAGUCAGGAAUCAAUUUGUAUUUUAGACUGAUGUUACCUUAAAUGGUAGGCUAACCAUUUCCAUCAAAGAAAGAACUUUUAUGAGAGCAAUGACAACUCCUAUCAGGCAGAUCUUUGCAAUCGCAUAAUACUUGCUCAACUAAUAUUAUCCGUUAAUUUAAGCUGUGCAAAAUAAUUUAAGGGUAAUUUAAGAGUCUGUUAAGAAAAUGUUUAUAUGACUUAGAAAACACAUACUGUGGCUUAAUCAUAAUAUUUCUGAAAUUGCCUCCAUUCUCCAUUUCCUUUUUCAAUUGGUUUGAGUCAGCAUCUUUCCGACUAUCUAGAUAGCUUCAAUAAAUAGGAAAAAACUUACCGAUAUGUCAGUUUUUGUCUGAAUGUUAGACAUACCUGAAAUCUAGUGAUUAAUCAAUAAACAUGUCAUGAAUGCAUGAAUAAAUUAAUGAAUAAAUAGCUGUACCAAUGGUCAGUGCCAGCAUGUUGUGCAUUCUAGAAGAACAUAGGUCUGUGAAUGAGAAUUUUAAGUCCAGUGUGCUAUCAUAAUUUAAAAUAUCUAGGGAAGAAAAACACAUACCUUUGUUGAGUCCUCACUGUGUGCAAAUUUGUUAGCAUCAUUAUUCAUUUAAUUUGCUCAACAACUUUUUACAAAAGGCAUCAUGGAGCAUCGACAAUGUACAAGGCAUUUUUUUAUUCAUGGCCUCAUUCAAUCCUCCCAACACAUUUCUGAAGAAGGUAUUGUUUCAACAAAUAUACAAGUGAUAACACUAAAGCUCGGAGAGAUUAGAAAAUUUGCUAAAGGUCACACAAAUGAAAUGUGCCUAGUUCUCUGUCCACCAGAACAAAUGUUCCACAAGUUAAAUUUUGAAGUUCAACCUUUGCAUGAUAUCAUAAGUGUUUUAAAAUCAGCAUACGAGUUGUUAGCAUUUUGAAGUUGCUACAGAAACAAAUAUUUCCAAAAAAGGAUAUUGCAGAGCCUUUAAAAUAGCCCUGUCAUCAACAUUUCUUAAAUGUACAUAAUGCAGCACAAGAGAAAUUUGCAUGUCUUAAUGCUUGGCAAAACAUGAAAGUUUGCUUCUUUAAUGUGCUGUAUCCUUUAGUUGGUCAUGACAGAUUUAUGACAACUGGAUGUUUUCCAAAAGUCAUUAUGCUUUCUGAUUUAUUCAUUUGUUUUAAUCUUGAAAAGAUUUGAACUGAAUUCUAAAUUUGUGUAAUGAUAACAUUAAAGUCAAGAUCUAUCUAAAAAAUGAUUGAAAAAAAAAAACGCUUUGACCAACAUCAAUCAUUGGAAAGAUUCACUUAAUAAUUUUGGUGUUGAUUUUAUUCAUUGUCUUUUCCAAUAAGGAUGUCAGUGGAAGACAGACACGGAAGCCAUGGACAGACGUUGACAUGUAGUGUCAAUGUGAGUAUGAUCAAAACAUUUGGUUAAGAGCAUGGGAUUGGAGUCAGACGGGUUUGUUCUCAGGUUCUCAAUCUGUCACUUACUUGCCCUAUGGCCAUAGGCACAGACUUACCCUCUCUGAGCGUCAGUCUCUACAUCUUUAAUGCUGGGGAAAUACCUACUUCAUUGUGUUUUUUAAAUAAGAUUUUAAUAAAGCAAUACACAUAAGGAAAUUAAGUGACUGAUACAUCAUUGAGAUCCCACUCAAUAAAUGGAAAUAUUUCUACUCUUAUUUUUAAAAAUAAACCUUGUUAAAUAAGCAACAGAAAUUGGUCGAUUGGUUAUCCUCAUGUCUUUUUCAUAUGUCAGUAUGUAGGUAUAUUCUGAUAAACUGGAUCCAGGGAGAGACACUGAAAAGAUUGCAAAAGAGGUCAAGCUGUCUCUGAUACCCACUUUACUGCAGAAUCCUCUGCAUCUUUGAGCAUCUUUAGUCCCCCCAAUCCUGGCUUCAUCCCCUCAUGUUUGUACCCUCUUCAGCCUUCCUUUUCUGAGACAGUGUCUAAACUUCAAUACUUAGUCCCUACCUUUGGAUCUAUUCCUACCCUAUUCUCAACUGGCUCUCUUUUCACAUUUUUCUGAUAAUCUAAUUCACCAAGAUAGUUAUGUCUGUAUUUUAAAAUUGGACAUGGAUAUUAUUUCAUCUUAUAUUUCAUAAAGGAAACAAUCGAAUCUUUCAGGACACAGUUGAAUAAAAAUUAGUUUGUGAUCUAAUGUCUCUUAAUUAAAGAGAGCUCUUAUUGAAUGGUCUGAGCUACUACCCUAACCAUUAUAUUUAAAGAGAUAACUAUUUUUAGAUGAUGACAGGAUAUUUAACUCCUAUUUAAUAACAUGGAAAUUACUUCAUUUCAAGGAGACAUAACAAAUAAUCCUGUAUUUUCAGGGUAGAGAAAACCCAUAUGGUUCCUUCCUCUCAUUUUCUUCCUUUGUCUCUUAGAUACUGAGAAAGCAGCUCUUAGAAGAAAGAACAGAGAUGAUACUGAGAAAGUACUAAAGAUCAGAUACCCAGAAGUGCAAACAAAUGUCAUCUAUUUAAGUAACCCACACAAUCCAAGAAGCAGUCUGAAGGGAGUUUGAUGCUAAAUUGCUCUGAAGACUUGGGAGGUAAAUCCUAAUCGUGUCAAAGAUUUGGCACAAAGACAUGUUUCAGGGUGAGUUAAUAAACAAACAUGCUGAUGGAUAGUAGUGAUAAGAUCAUGGUGAAGUCUUCUUAAUCAGAUAGGGAUUACUGACCAGAUUCCAAAUAUUUCCUACAUGCAUAUUUCUUUAAAUAUUUGUUUUAUAAGAGGAUAUUCCAUGCCAUUUUGUGUUUGUUCUGUUCAGAUGUUUCAAUAAUCUUAUUUUCAAUGUUUGUAAGUCAAGGACAAUUUACUGUUGUAUUUUGUGUCUGGGAAAGAAUCUAGUUGUAUUGUGGGUCAUACCUAUGUAGUGUGUGAUCUGAGAAUUCAAAAUAAAUCCUAAAUGAUAAGGGAUGGGGCACCUGGGUGGCUCAAUCGGUUUAGAGUCUGACUCUUGAUUUCGGCUCAGGUCAUGAUCUCAUGGGUUUGUGACAUCAAGCCCUGUCUUGGGGUCUGUUCUGACAGUGUGGAGCCUGCUUGGAAUUCUCUCUCUGCCCCUCCCGCACU
rnacentral:lncRNA from 1 species